UAUACGAACAAUGUACAAAGAUCGGCUGUCGGGUAGACGUCUCGACCUGACCUCGGUUAAGUGGACUUUACUUCGGGAGAAACGUCGCCUGGAAGUGAUUGCAUGUCAAAGUUGAUCGUUUUUCAAGAUAUUUUGCCUAGAAAUUGAGGUGUACGUGUGUUUUUAGCCCAUUCCGAGGAUCAUGGUCCAAUCGAGGAGACGGAGGAGAGGGAGUGGGAGAGAGAAAAAACAAUGGUCCCACGUUUUCCAAGGAGAGAGAGCAAACACAAAAGGGGGCACCAACUCCGGGAGAAACGAUCGGCAUAUCGGCACCAGGGCGCUUCUUUGUCGAGGAGCUGAAGAGUGACCGCAAACAACGGGGUCGCCGAUUACGCUCGACCGGGUGUUCCCUCUCGUGAACACGGUCCGGUCGAAUAUACGAGUUCGAUUGAGGGGCAUUUCGCGAUCCGGAGGCGUUUUGUUUUCGACAUCGGGGCGGAGAAGAGGUUGGCCGUUUUCGUAAUGGCUCGCUGAUUCGAGAGAAUCGCAAACGCGUAAUUCGCCGACUCGAGAUCGCUGCUCUUUGGAACAGAGCACGGGGAACCAAAUAGUUCAUAAUCUGGGAUUAUGAAUCGACGAGUAUCCUCGAUAACGAUGCGUCGUCUGAGAGCAAGUAACGGCUGCAACGAAUAAAAAUGGUCGUUUUAAGGUCCGAUAACGGAGGGACACCUGCUAUGGAGGACGAGACGCAAAGGCAGCGUCGGCUGAUAUUUUUCUAAACGACCGAAGUCAUCGAUGCGAUCCAACAUGGCGUCGUUAAGUGAAUCCUAGUUCUUAAGGAUUGAACGAGGGCAUAUACUUGUAGCGCGAAAUUAUGCCAGAGGGAUCAAGCUUCAUCCACUGAAAGAGCAAUAUGGGCAAGAGCUGAUAUUUUUUGAAACGACCGAAGUCAUCGAUGCGAUCCAACAUGGCGUCAUUAUGGAAUUCAAGCUCUUAAGGAUUAAAUAAGGGCAUGCACUUGUAGCAUGAAAUUACGUAAGAAGGCGAGCUUCACUCGCUAAAAGAGCAUCAUGGUGGUCGCGCUUGUUAUCCGUGCACGGCUUGCGUGGAACGCAGGAAAACCGAAGGACGUGGGGCGGGUCUUUGACGAAGGACUUCCUGGAUCAAGCCGCAUUUACAAGAGCAGAGGAACGCAGCACGCUUCGGGGAUACGUGUCUUGGGGUCUCACAACACCUGUGCUUGUCUUUAGAAAUGGCUUCGCUCUUUGGCAAGGAUAAUAAGCACGGGAUACUGAACUUCGAAUCCUAACCCGUCCUCCAAAGUGCAUCUCUGGAUCUAGCUGAUCGUUUUAAGAAUUUCCUGUCGCGAAAUCUUGGAAAAUUGAGGCGCAAAACACUGACCUAGUCAUUAUCUGCGAUGUUUACCCUGGCGCGUCAAACUGGACAGAAAGUGUCGUUUUCUGAACCUCUUGAAUGAGUAAUGUCAAAUUAAAUCAGGUCACCGUGAUUGGAUUGUUUUUCUGCGUUUUUGAGCUAUGAACGAAAUUGUGAUAUGUUGCCUUAUUUAUAUGGUAUCGAAAGAUAUUUUUCUUUUUCUAAAGAUUUGACACGUGGAGUCGUGGAUGGAAGAGACUCAACAUGUUUAGGGUCGCUGCCUGGAAGGCGCGAGUCGCUUCCGUGGCAGCUGCUUACGUCGUUAGUAAUGGCUAUGUUUUUUGUGGCGAACAUAGGGGAGAGGUGCCGGCGAUCGUGUAAAGUGUGCAGGCAUUUAGUCCGACUAAUUACGAGAGGGAGCAGAGUCGAGCUGUCGCAUGUGAGGAGUCUUCGACACGCGACACAUAUGUCGGUUAAGCCGAAUGUCUGCACACCUUUAUCAUAGUUAAACAUCGAUGACGUAUGAUCCUCCGUAAAUCACUAUACGACGUGUAUCCAUGCAUUUAUGUAAAUACGGGAAAAUGUUGCAAGAACGAUGAGGAAAGCAGAUACUGCAUGUAUUCUUUGUUCCUGGAAUAUUUCCAUGAGGUGAAACGUGGAAGAAGUGCGCCCUCGAGAAGCGCUUUUUUGAAUGUCGCCGCGACAGCGGAGUCGCCGGCAUUGUCUCCAUUGUCGGCGAAUUGUAAUCAAUAUUUUCACAAUAUGACGGCAUUGUCCGGAGCACGAGCGAGCCGUGAGGGUGCUUCUCCCGGUCUAGGAAUCGCUCACCCCGGCCUCUCGAAGACCCUCGGACCUUAAAAAUAAGUUCCCGGCUAACCAUCCGCGGCCAUAUUGGUCCCCGAGUGGCGUCCUACAGGGACUCCUCCGUUUCGACUUUCUCCCCGUUUACUGACCCGAUUUCCGACAUCUCGCAGUUUCUCGAAAUCGCGUGAAGCCUCAUAAACGUAGCGGGAGGAAAUCCGGGGAAACCGAGACUUUUUGCGGUGGUUUUCGCGAAACCUCGAACGACCCGCUGACUCCUCCCUCUCGUCUGGCAACGAUGUUCCAUUUAGCAGUUUUCUGUAAACCGGAAGGAAAAAAUCGAGGAAAAAAUUUCGAAGGAUCGCCGUUUAUACUUCUGGAGUCCUUGAACGAUCCGGGGGGCGUGUUCCAUCCAACAUUUUACGACUAGAAAUUCGAGGAACCGCAGGCUUACUUUCGCCUUAAGGAAGGCAUUCCGGAAAUGACACGUUUUAUUUUGAGAAAUCUUUUAUUGUCGCGCAAAGGUUCUUUUUAGUAAAGGCUUUCUAUAUUAUAUUCGCGGGGCCGGAGAGCUCGAUGCGUGUCCUCGCGUGCCAGCGGGCUGCAGGACGAAGGACUCGUCAAGGUUCGUCAGGGAUUGUCAUUGAUCGUCAUUUUGGAGCAGAAAUGGACGAAGUCAAGUACCGAACGAGCAGUAAAUCAGCGCCGCCAUUUUCAAGGCGAUGGGCCCUUUUAAACGCCUCGCGCAUUGUGAUAGGUUAUGGUUUGUUGACGAAACGCUUUGCCGGGCUUAGUUAAUGCGUUUAUUAGUUUACGGGCGGCGGUGGGCGCCUGUAAACGUAUUCUUGGGGAAAGCAAGACGCAAUAAACACCACGCGACCGUCGUCCGGAAAGAUUCAUGGGGCUCGCGCCUCCUCCGUCCAUGAAACUCGUCUCGGCACUCCGAAAUGACGCUUCGUUAAGCCAAAGGCCACACGACAGGACAUUACUUUACCUAUUCUGCCGAGAAACCCGGGAAAGAUUUUUUUAAAGCGAGGGAAAAAGUCGACUUCUCUUUAGGAACAAAAGUUUCAUUUAAUGGCAUGGUUGUACACUGUUAACAAAAAAGUAUUAUGAUUUUAUAAGACUUUUCUUGGAAAUUGUAUUCGGACAUGGUAUACUAAGUUUAUCAUACAUUUGCAAGAAAUUUA
rnacentral:lncRNA from 1 species